rnacentral:misc_RNA from 1 species
GAUGAAGAACGCAGCGAAAUGAGAUAAGUAAUGUGAAUUGCAGAAUCCAGUGAAUCAUCGAAUCUUUGAACGCACAUUGCGCCCGCCAGCAUUCUGGCGGGCAUGCCUGUUCGAGCGUCAUUUCAACCCUCGACCUCCCUUUGGGGAAGUCGGCGUUGGGGACCGGCAGCACACCGCCGGCCCUGAAAUGGAGUGGCGGCCCGUCCGCGGCGACCUCUGCGUAGUAAUCCAACUCGCACCGGAACCCCGACGCGGCCACGCCGUAAAACACCCAACUUCUGAACGUUGACCUCGAAUCAGGCAGGACUACCCGCUGAACUUAAGCAUAUCAAUAAGCGGAGGA